rnacentral:misc_RNA from 1 species
AAAGUCGUAACAAGGUUUCCGUAGGUGAACCUGCGGAAGGAUCAUUAUGAAUUUGAUUGGGUGUUUCUUCUUUAUUGAGGAGAUGCUUUCAUUUUCUGUGAACUGUUUGAAGUUGGCUUGAGCAAUCAAAGUCUCUUCAUCUUUUUGUUUUCUUGUAUUAUUCCACUCUUUUUAAUUGAGCAAUCGAUUAAAAAAAAAAACCAAGACAACUUUCAGCAAUGGAUCUCUUGGCUCUU